UAUUACUGGGAAAGUGUCCUAAAUUCACCCAGUGAGCUGCAAGGCUGCAUCUGUGUGGCCUAUAGCUUACAGCAUGAGAAGGAGGGGAGACAAACAAGCCAAGCCAGCUGUUCCCAACCUACUUCCUAUAAUAGGUGGAGUGCUGUGGUGCUUAGGCAUGGGGACUGGUGAACCAGUUUAGGAGGAAAGGUGGCAACAGGUGCAGAUGGAGGCAGAGAAAUGAGGAAUACUAUGUGUAGGAGUCCAGGAGAGCACACUUGCUCACAACAGCCUUGUGGAGUAGACUAGGCCAAGAAAGGAAUAUCACCCACUGAACUUCAUAGCAGACACAAGAGCUGAACCAAUGGACUGUUUUCUGGACUGUGGAUUGCCAUCUUACGUUGUUUGCAAGACAUGGCAUACAUUCCUAGAGCUGAAAAGAUUAGAUCAUCAAGUCCAAUCACACUGGACCCUCCAGGCGAAGCUCUAUCCUUCAAGCUCCGGCUGAUACCAUGGAGAAUGACCGCAUGAGUGCUUGAUAAAAUGUCAAGAUGCCAUUAUUUCCAGGAGAGUGUUUGGGAGCAAUAAGGUCCCCUUCCAUUUAUCUCAACCAGCUGACUUUAAGGCUUUACUAUUCCACUUCCUGGAUGCACCAGAAGGAAGACUUUCCAUCCCCAAAUGGCCCUUCCGUAAUGUUAUGUAGAUGGGUUAUAACAACAGUGCCGGCACAGUGACAUUUAUGCCGUACUUCAAGAAACAAUAUUUGGGAUUUAAUUAAUCAUGCACACAAACAAGAGUUUAUGGCUGAUAAUAACUGUGUUUUGAGCCACUUGAAAAUAUCAUUGGCAAGAAAGGAAGAAAAAAAUAAGCAAGGCAAGGCAGACGGUGGGAACUCCAUGUGCCACGACAGCAGAAGAGACAGAUUUGCAUGAAGUCCCAGCAAAUUUUCAAGCACAGUCUCGAGACCUUUUCCAAAUCUUGUCAUUUUACUGAGUUGGUGUCAGGUGGUGGUGGUGGGGAAGAGAAUAAAUAAAGUAAUUCAGGGUGUGGGGAGGAAAACCCACCAUGAAUCAUUUGCCAUUUAAGUUACGCUCUAAGCAGACUUCUCCCUUUAAAUCUAGCAUGACAAAAGAUCCAUUUCUUACAUUGUUCUUAUCCCACCUUUUCUCCAAAGAGGUCAAAGUGGCACACCCAUUGUCCUUCCCGUCAUCCAUUUUCAUCAUCACAAGUGCCCUGUGAGGUAGGCUGAGGGGAAAUGCGUGGCCCAAAGCCACAUAGUAAGUUUUGUGGAUGAAAAUAAAUUCAAACACAAGUAUCCACGCUCUGGAGUCCAACAUUCUAAAAGAAGCUGCAGGUAUUCAGGUAUUGCACUGGUAUUGAGUCCCCUCUCUGCAAUGAGAAACUGGUCAUGGGGAAGUGAAUCUGGCACUGGAACUUCAAAUGGAGGUUUAUAUUGUAAACGUGCAUACUACAUUCCAUUGUGCUUUCUCAGUAUGCAUGUGCACAAGAGAGAGAGAGAGAUCAUUACAAUGUACUUUGCAUGUUUUUUUCUGGGCACCUUGGAAAUGGGUGUGGGGUUGAGCCCGUGGUUGUCAUAUUCUGGGCCAAUGCCAGAUCCCACCAAAGACAACCACAAGGCUGGUCAAAGGUUGCUAGACCAUGGACAGUUCCAAGUGAGCAAACAUACUCCAUCAAAGGUUGGGAGCAGACUACGGCCUGUUAAGCCUCUGUCUCCGGACUCCCUCCUCCCAGGCUCCACCCCCUUGUAGAAUACAUCAGAGCCUUAAAGGGCCAGUCUUCUGGCAUGAAGACAGGCAGUCCUCCUCUAUUCUAUAGCCUCCCUCCUGGUGUGCUUCCUACGCAGCCAGACUGGUGAUGUGUGGUGGGAAGCAUCUGGUUCUUCAUGCUCAGAGGAAGGUGCCCAUGAAGGUCCAGGCUCUGGCUUUAUAGGCUCUGGGAGGUUCCUCUGAGGGCUCCUGUCCAACAGCUGCAGGCGCAAUGGUCUCCCUAUCUUCAGCACUCAGCUCUGAGUCCUGAAUCUGCCCUUGGUCCCCAUCAGGCAGCCCUGGAGCCUCUGACUCUGUGUGUGGAUCACUGCUAGAUAUGGGUCAUGGCAGUGCUCAUACCUGAAGCACAGAAACCCAAAUGUUCAUUCUGAUUAUCUCCCAGAGUGGGAUCGCAUGACAAUGUAUUUUGCACCUUUCCUUCUCCCUCUCAAAACAUGUGCACCAGUUGAGGUGAUGUGGAGGUAAUGUUUGGGGAAGGGUCAUAGGUCAUGGGGAAGGGCCGUAGCUCAGUGGUAGCACAUCUGCCUUACAUGCAGAAGGUCCAGGUUCAAUCCCUGACAUCUCCAGGUAGGUCUAGAAGAGAAUCCUGUCUGAAAUCCUGGAGAGCCACUGCCGGUUAGUGUAGACUAUACUGAGCUAGUUGGACCAAUGGUUUGAGCUGGUAUAAGUCGGGGUCCUAUGAUACUAUGUUCAAGCAUUAAACAUAGUUAUGUGAAUGCUGCUUUAAAAAAACAAAAACAAGUCAUGGGGACUUCUUAUCUGGACUGGAACCAAGGCAGACGUCAUGAGCCCCAUGGUGAGGAAGAACCUGGGAUCCAGGGGUGGGGCCCAGUGAUCUAACAGUGAUGAAUGAGGAUACCAGGGAGGGGCCAAGUUAUCUACCCAUCAACGAGCUCCUCCCCUGAGAUUUCAGCUGACCUGGAUGAAGGGGUCGAGUUGUCAGUCCGUCCCCUUACCCAGCCUCCAAUGGUCAUUCCACUGACCUGUCUCCACAGGAGAGGAUGCUGGAGUUGGAGUCAUGGGGUGAUCUGUUCAAGUCAUCUCUGCCUCCGUCACCAUGGACUUGCCAGAGGAUGUGCAGGUGCAAACAGACUGGGCCCAUUAACCAGCCCAGUAGGAGUGCCAGUUUGCUUGCUUGGUCCUGAGCUGGGAAAGAAGUCUUGUGCAAAUAAUUGUGCCCAUGAGGGAGUGC